GACGAACGCUGGCGGCGUGCUUAACACAUGCAAGUCGAACGGUGAAGGGACCGGUUUUUGCUGGUUCUGGAUGAGUGGCGAACGGGUGAGUAACACGUGAGUAACCUGCCCCCUUCUUCUGGAUAACCGCAUGACAGUGUGGCUAAUACGGGAUAUUCUGCGCCUGCUGCAUGGUGGGUGUGGGAAAGAUAUUGUUUCGGUGGGGGAUGGGCUCGCGGCCUAUCAGCUUGUUGGUGGGGUGAUGGCCUACCAAGGCGGUGACGGGUAGCCGGCCUGAGAGGGUGGGCGGUCACACUGGGGCGGAGACACGGCCCAGACUCCUACGGGAGGCAGCAGUGGGGAAUAUUGCACAAUGGGCGCAAGCCUGAUGCAGCGACGCCGCGUGAGGGAUGGAGGCCUUCGGGUUGUAAACCUCUUUCGCCAGUGAAGCAGGCCUGUCCCUUUUGUGGGUGUGUUGACGGUAGCUGGAUAAGAAGCGCCGGCUAACUACGUG
rnacentral:rRNA from 1 species